AUUGAACGCUGGCGGCAGGCCUAACACAUGCAAGUCGAGCGAGCGGCGGACGGGUGAGUAAUGUCUGGGAAACUGCCUGAUGGAGGGGGAUAACUACUGGAAACGGUAGCUAAUACCGCAUACCAUCAGAUUUGCCCAGAUGGGAUUAGCUGGUAGGUGGGGUAACGGCUCACCUAGGCGACGAUCCCUAGCUGGUCUGAGAGGAUGACCAGCCAAACUGGAACGGAAACACGGUCCAGACUCCUACGGGAGGCAGCAGUGGGGAAUGUUGCACAAUGGGGGCAAGCCUGAUGCGGCCAUGCCGCGUGUGUGAAGAAGGCCUUCGGGUUGUAAAGCACUUUCAGCGGGGAGGCGUUACCCGUAGAGGAAGCACCGGCUAACUCCGUGCCAGCAGCCGCGGUAAUAC
rnacentral:rRNA from 1 species